UCCGGGAUCCCGGUGCCACACUCUCUCACCGGGUGGUGUGUUCACUUCAUACACUUUCUUUCUCACCGGGUGGUGUCGUCAUUAGAGAGCAAUAAACCAUACGAUCGAAUCAACUGAACAAUAAACCAUGAAUAAAGGCAACAUUUCAAUGGCUUGUGUGUGUGUGUAUGUGUUUUUCUCUGUGGCCCUCCUCUGUGAAGCCCUGCCCACUCCUCCACCGGGCACCAAUCCAAACAGGGCUGUACUGAUGCGCCAACGCUCCUGCCCUGAAGGCCUGUACCCGUCAGCGAGCCUGUGCUGCCUCAACUGCCCCGCUGGCGAACACCAGGUCUCCCCGUGCUCCAGCGACCGGGG